GACCAUGAGUCAAGGAUAACUGAGGAGAAGGAUCAGGAGAUAAAAAGUGUUCAAGAGAAGAUUACCCAACUUAAAGGAGAUAUAUACAAUCUCAAGGAUAGCUUCAGAAAAUAUUCUUUGUAUGGAAAGUUUUUAUCAGAAAUAUCUCCUGAGGAGUGGAACCAUGAACAGGAAAUUUUAUCCGGUAGAUCCAGGAAAUCAGUUCCAUCCCAUCUAAAGAAUAUUCUCAGCCUGGAAUCCAACGAGUUCAUAGAGGGAGACAAUUUUCUAUAUUUCAAGG